rnacentral:rRNA from 1 species
UACAGAGGGGGCAAGCGUUGUUCGGAAUUACUGGGCGUAAAGGGCGCGUAGGUGGCCUUCUAAGUCGAACGUGAAAUCCCUGGGCUCAACCCAGGAACUGCGUCCGAGACUGGGAGGCUUGAAUCCGGGAGAGGGAUGCGGAAUUCCCGGUGUAGCGGUGAAAUGCGUAGAUAUCAGGAGGAACACCAGUGGCGAAGGCGCCGCUCUGGGCCGUGACUGACGCUGAGGAGCGAAAGCGUGGGUAGCAAACAGG